UCAAGUAAUCAUUGAGCUUAAAUGCAAGAUACGAGACAUGGAUGUUAGGGCUCUCUAAUCCCUUUGAAUUUGAAAGCCUUAUCAUUAGGAACAUUAAAGGUUACCAUCUUCCAAUGAUAAUCUAUAUUGGAAUGGUAUGCUACCAACCAAUCCAUUCCUAGUAUAAUGUUAAAAUCAUGCACGUUUAGGAGUACGAGAUCUACUGGUAACUCUCUG
rnacentral:lncRNA from 1 species